GCGUGAGCGUGCUAAGGUAGCGUAUAUUAGCCUUUUAAUUGAAGGCCAGUGAAUGGCAAGACUAGGAAUAACUGUACUUUGUAUAUGAAAAAAACUUUUCAUCUAAGUGAAAAGACUUAGAUAAUGAAGGAAGACGAAAAGACCCCGCGGAACUUUACCUUUUCUUAUACCUCUGUUUACAAACUUAAAGGUUUACAAGGUUUGAUUGGGGCAAUCUUGGAACCAAUAAAGCUUCCAAUUUUUCUUAAAAAGUAUUAAAAAUUUAUUAAGGACUAAAAAGUAGUUACCCCGGGGAUAACAGCGUAAUCCAACUAAAGAGUACACAUCGAAAGUUGGGUUUGCGACCUCGAUGUUGGCUUAAGGAUAUCCACAUAAGUGCAACCGCUAUGGCAGGACAGUCUGUUCGACUAUUCAUACCCUUACACGAGCUGAGUUAAGACCGGCGCAAGCUAGGUUGGUUUCCUAUCUCCUUUGUCUCAAACCUUUUCUUGAUGUACGAAGACC
rnacentral:rRNA from 1 species